rnacentral:rRNA from 1 species
CAGCAGCCGCGGUAAUACGAAGGGGGCUAGCGUUGCUCGGAAUUACUGGGCGUAAAGGGAGCGUAGGCGGACAUUUAAGUCAGGGGUGAAAUCCCAGAGCUCAACUCUGGAACUGCCUUUGAUACUGGGUGUCUUGAGUGUGAUAGAGGUAUGUGGAACUCCGAGUGUAGAGGUGAAAUUCGUAGAUAUUCGGAAGAACACCAGUGGCGAAGGCGACAUACUGGAUCAUUACUGACGCUGAGGCACGAAAGCGUGGGGAGCAAACAGGAUUAGAUACCCCAGUAGUCCCUGUCUCUUAUAC